AAUCUCAGUUCAGUUUACUACUCUCAACUUGGAAGCUCCUCUUCUGCCUGAAACCACCACCUGUAGGCUUGGACACGUUCUCAAAAUUAUGUGUUCUAAAAGAGCAAAGAUACAGUUCAGUGUGGAGUUUAUGUGCUAACAUGAGUUUCUUUCUGCAUCUUUUCGUAUAAAGUGAGAAACUGAAGCCUCCUGCCAACAGCCAUGUAUGUGAGCUUGGAAGUGGAUUCUCCAACACUCUAGAUGACUGCAGCCCUGGUCACUAACUUCACCCCAAGUCUGAGCUGCUCCGAGAUUCCUGACCCUCAAAACUGAGUGAAAUAAAUAUUUGUUGUUUCAACAAGUUAAA